rnacentral:lncRNA from 1 species
UCUGGCAAAACUGGCAAGGGACAGAAAGGCUUCAUAUAUCUGGUCAGUGACUUGAACAAAAACUAUUUUCUGGAAUACUGUUUCCUAAAAGGGCAGUAUAUAGGAUCUUAAAAGAAAGAAAGAAUUAAGCCAAAAAUUGGCUCCUUGGAUAUUUUACUAAUGUAUAAAUUAGAGCAUAUUACUUGACCAUUGUGAAUCUCAGUUUCCUUACAGAAACCUUUCAGGGUUGUUCUGAGAAUUAAAGAGGAUAUACCACAUGCCAUACAGACUACUGGUGCACUGGCCAACACUGGCCACUUAUUUUGUUGUUUCUGUUUUUGUUCUUAUCAUAAUCAACUUCUUCUCUUUCACUUGUUUCCCAAUUCCUCUAAUCUAGUCUCUGAAUAAAAACUUAAAUUUAAACUAUGUUCUAUGUAAACUAGUCCCAGAUAUUGCAUAUUGCAUUUGACCUAGAUAUUGCAUAUCUCUGCUUUUCUCUCCUUCAGAGUCUGGGGGACUCUUGAAUUCACUACUGCAAAUUAAAUCUACUCAAAGGCCAAGUAAGUGCUCUGGGGCAAACUCUGAAGCUAUUUUUAAGAGAACUGCCCUGUGGUCACUGCAUCUCUCUUUUCUUCACUCUCCCAGCUGUUGCUGAAAGGGACAGUCACCUGGUGGAGACUGGCAGCAGCAGCUGUCUGUGCAGAGAAAAGCUAUAGCCCAGCAGCCAUGUUCCUGUCUCCUUUUGGAGGCAGCCAGUGAGUUCAGAUCAGGCGAGCAGUGACACUCUAGAACAGACUGCCUAGUGACCUCCAGGGCCACCUGUCUCUUCAGAGAACACCUGGGUGUAGAGAAGAAUAGCAGCUACCUGUUGUCACAUCGGUCUACUUCUGAAGUCUCAAGUUCAUCUCCCAUGUUCAUGCAAAGCCCCAGAUGCCUCAACACUACAUGUCUAGUAUGAGACACAUUAGAUAGUUUGGAUGUUGUAGUUCCUGGAGUCUGCCCUAGAGGAAGCAGACUCGCAUCUAACCCCAUGUUAACUCUGGGGAUGAUGAAAGUCUAGAUGUCACUGUUUACACCAAUUUACCUCUCUCUGACCUUUGCUGGCAUGAAUCAUAGAGCCACUGAGUACUCAAUUUUGCUUAUAGACAAAACCAGAACCCUGUUUGAUCUGGCUCCCAAUUCAUUUCUCUUUCUAUGGCACCUCUCUCACUCACAUUUUGAGUCCAUGAUACUUCUCCUCAGAACCUUGAGAUAAGCUUGCUGCAUGGAGGGAGAAGAUGCAUGGCCAUGUUGCUUUUAGAGUUUAACAUUCAACAUUCUUUUCUUGAAGAUGAAAUGACUGCAGGCAGUAAAAUGCAGUAGUUCUUUGUUGGUGGUUUAAAGCCAUGGCAAGGAUGGGCAGGAACAACACACUGAAGAUGCAGGGCCAUGGACUGGGCUUGUUGAUGGCUUUAUACACAACAGCUGUGUUGGCCUAACUGGCCUUUGGGAACUGUACAGAAGGCAGAUGGGUGGCAGAAGGAAAAGUUGGUGAGCAAUCAGGGGGAAACCAAGUAAACAUGUUCCUUCAAGCCUCUCUGAAAAAUAAAUCCACAAUUACCAUGUUCCCAAACACUCAGCUCUCACUGACUAAUAGAGUAAAACUACAGGUACUAGAAUGAGAGCCUCAAAGGAUAUCAUUUCAAAUGUCAAAUGUCUGUUCCAUAAAAAAAAAAUCUAGCUAUACGAGUAGAAAAAUAAGGAUUGUAGGACCUAAGUUUGUAUCUGAUCCAAUGGUAGGGACUACGCUGAAGUCAGGUAUCUUCCCCCUUCUGGUCAUCACUACACCUCCCCAUUUCUCCCUAGGAUACAACUCUGUGAAUUACACAUAAUAGACACUGGGUAAAUGUUUUAACUUGACAGAAUUCUUUUUACAAUCGCCUGAAAUAGGCAAAGCUCUGAAUUUCCCUUUUUCAUGAUUUUUCAAGUGGCUCGGGUUCACUUGGUAUUAUGAACAAUAAAAAAGCAAUCAGCCUAAAAUGAAAUUCCCUAAGGACUGGAACAGGAGCCAUUGAAAACACUUGCUGGAGAAGGUCCUCAGCAUGAGGAGAGGGCAAGCACCACAAGCAAGCCACAGAAAGCACAGACCAGGCAUACGACAUCCUCUCCCAGAGACCUGAUGAGACCUUUAUCCUCCAGGUUGGCUCAGAUUCAUGAGAAUCUCCAAAUCUUCUGAGGCUCUGUUAACACCCAACUAAUAGCUGCAUCAAGGACACAUUUAUGCUAAUCUGUUAAUGUGUACACCCCACAGACAUUAGCUGAGGAGAUGGGCUUCUCUAGCCAACUGCUAAGAGUUACUGAAAUAGAGAACUAAUGGAAAUGUCUUUAAUAAUUCUCCAUGCUAACUGUACUGUUUUUAGUGCUCUCACAUAUGAGCCUGCAAUUUUCAUCAAGUAUCUACAGAAUCUUAUGAUGGUACAAGAUGGCUUCCAGUAGACAGUAGCUUCUAAGGGAGAAGCUCUUGGUAGGAUGUGGGAAACUUGAGUGCAUUUAAUAGAUUCCAUCCAGGGUGGUUUGUCAAAAAAAUAACAAUGUAGGAGUUCCUGUCAUGGUGCACUGGAACCGAAUCCAACUAGGAAUCAUGAAGUUUUGGGUUCAAUCCCUGCUCUCCCUCAGUGGGUUAAGGAUCUGACAUUGCUGUGAGCUGUGGUAUAGGUCACAGACAUGGCUCAGAUCUCAGAUCUGGCACUGCUGUUGCUGUGGCCAGCAGCCAUAACUCUGAUUGGACCCCUAGCCUGGGAACCUCCAUGUGCCGUGAGUACAGCCCUAACAAGCAGAAAAAAAAAAAGAAAACACAUAAAUAUUUUGAUUUACGUUGGACUCAUUAAUUAUUUCCUUACAGUCCAUAUUUUGGAGUGGCUCCAUAUAAGCUGAAUUUACUUGUUAUUUUCAUCUUUGAACAGAAAGCCCUCCUGCAGUUCCGAGUGAAGCAACUGUUGUUUAUGGGCCAUGCAGAUCAGCUUUACUUUCCCUGCCAAAGGUAAAUACCCCAAAGGAAUCCAAAAUUACACUGAAUGAAAAUUUGGAUGAGCACCAUUUGUGCUUUAAUUUGGGUAAAAACAGUCUUCGAAGGUUAUGUGCUACAAGGGAGAUUUGGCUUAUUAACUAGGCCUGAGGUUGAAGUUAUUCCAAGUAAACUGGUUUUUGUCCCAAACGGCUAUUUCGUGUGGACCUACACUGGGAAAUAAAACAAUCCGUGUGAAAGCAAUGGUGUGUCUGGUUUAGUCUCUCAAGACUGCAUGAUUCAUUUAUGUGCUAAUUGUCAGUACAGCUAGACUGGUCCACAUGUUCACUUGUGACCCACCCAGCAAGAAAUACUUCAGACAUCUCCCACUCCAACCUUCCUUCUGUGCCUUCCAUGUCUCUCUUCUCCAGACUUCUUUGCUUCUUUGCCUAUUCCCCUGGUUCACUAUGGCCUGGGUAAGUCAUAGUCAUGCUGGCCCCUCAGCUGUAAUGUUAAAAUAGGAAUAGUUUAUACCUUUUAAUUUUAAGAACAGAUAAGUGAGGUAAUUCAGGGAAAGGAGUACAAUGUCUGAAACAUAGUAAAUAUUCAAUUAAUGUAAAUUAGUUCUAUUAUGAUUAGUAUUAUUAUCAUCAUUAUCAUUUUUCCUCUUCACCAACUGGCAGAGAGUAACAGGCAGGGUGAUAGAAGAGUAGUGGAGAAGUUGGGCACAGAGCUGGGUCAGGAGGAUCUUGGCAGGGAGUCAAGUAUCUGGCUGGAGUUAAGGCCUGAAACAUUACCAUAAAUCCAAACUCUCACCAACCCUUAGCCUGCUGGAGGGAGGAUGUGG